GACUGCUCUGGUGGCCUAAGUGGGUAGAGCACCAGCCUUAGAUGCUGGAGGUUGUUGGUUUGAACCCCAGACAAGUCA